rnacentral:rRNA from 1 species
UACGUAGGGUGCAAGCGUUAAUCGGAAUUACUGGGCGUAAAGCGUGCGCAGGCGGCUUUGCAAGACAGAUGUGAAAUCCCCGGGCUUAACCUGGGAACUGCAUUUGUGACUGCAUGGCUGGAGUGCGGCAGAGGGGGAUGGAAUUCCGCGUGUAGCAGUGAAAUGCGUAGAUAUCGGGAGGAACACCUGAGGCGAAGGCGGGCUACUGGGCCGAUACUGACGCUGAUGCGCGAAAGCCAGGGGAGCGAACGGG